rnacentral:rRNA from 14 species
GGGAGGUGAACCCGGAGAACUGAAACAUCUAAGUACCCGGAGGAAGAGAAAACAAUAGUGAUUCCGCAAGUAGUGGCGAGCGAACGCGGAGAAGCCCAAACCGUACCUGUUACGGCAGGUGCGGGGUUAUAGGACUGCAUAAUGGGAUUAACAAUUGGUCGGAAUGACUUGGGAAAGUCAUCCAUAGAAGG